AGUCUGUGAUGAAGAUUGUGGAAUUUGUUUUGUCUGAAAUUUUGUGAUUACAAUCCUACUACUGCCUUCCUUCUGAGGCU